rnacentral:rRNA from 1 species
UACGUAGGGGGCAAGCGUUGUCCGGAUUUAUUGGGCGUAAAGAGCGUGUAGGCGGCCAGACAGGUCCGUUGUGAAAACUCGAGGCUCAACCUCGAGACGUCGACGGAAACCGUCUGGCUCGAGUCCGGAAGAGGAGUGUGGAAUUCCUGGUGUAGCGGUGAAAUGCGCAGAUAUCAGGAAGAACACCUAUGGCGAAGGCAGCACUCUGGGACGGUACUGACGCUGAGACGCGAAAGCGUGGGGAGCGAACAGG